GAAAACGAUUAAAAUAAAAGGGCAACCAAACAGCCGGAAAACUUCUCGAGUCUUAUCUCUCCGGCUGUGUCACAAAUCGACUGUGCUUCAUUUCCCGACGUGUUGUGUUUGAUCUGUUUACAAUACCAUGAUCAGAUUCAGCAAAAUAUCCGAACGAAUUACUGUUUAUGUUCGUCGAAUUGUUGAACAAUGAAAUCAUAGUCGAUCGAUUACACUUGCACCUUUUUUCCUAAAAUAAUAGCCGGAACAAGUUCUUCGGGGAUUUUCUUACCAUGUAGCACAGGCUAGACCAGCCUCGGUCAAGGAAGACUUUAGCUAGUGCGAUGAUAUCACGAAUUGUAUUUGAAGGCUAUAGAGAUGAUGGAUAAUUCCCACCUAUCAAAUCAACUCCGGUGAGUGCGCCCUUUUGGGAGCACUGGAUCAAAGUGGGAUGAAUGGAGAUUGGUCGGAUUUUGGGUGCGGCCAUUUUCAUUAUGCCCAUCAUGUGUUCGAUGAAAUGCCCAACAGAGGUAUCGUGGGGGUUUAAGUCUUUGUUUUGCCUCGUAUGGAGAUUUUUCAAACUCCACCCAACUUUUUGAUGACCCAAACCCAUCAUCUUUGUCUCAAUCUUGUCUUCUGAGCAAACAAAAGAUCAGAGAAGUGAAUGGAAGAGCUGAAACUGAGACCUUUUGAUGAAAGGAGUAGCUGUUCAUGGAAGAAUUCAAUUUGAUGACUGAGAAAGGAAUGAAGAAGAGUUAACUAACAGUGAUUUCUCCAUCUCCAAAGUUGAAUUUUCAAUGAUAGAAUAUGGUUUCUGAUCGGUGCUUCUGCGUCUUCUUUCUGGGUUUUCUCUUCUUUCUUUCACGCCUCUUCAUUGUUUCCUCUGCACCUUCCACUUUCAUUUCAGAUGAAAUCUUUGAAUCUCGAAGUUCAACUGGACGGAGGCUCCUUCAAGAUAAAAAAGUUGUGCAGCUUGCCCUGUAAGCUUUGAAUUCUUGAACUAUACAAUCAUCACAAGCAAAUGUAAAGGGCCUCUAUAUUCUCCAAAGCUUUGUUGUUCAGCUCUGACCGAAUUCGCUUGCCCUUACGUCGAUGCCUUGAACGAUAUGACAACUAGUUGCUCUCUGACCAUGUUUAGCUACAUUAACCUCUAUGGAAAAUACCCACCUGGCCUUUUCUCGAACGAGUGUCGAGAAGGAGAUCGCGGUCUUGCUUGCCCUCUAAUGCCAACUUCGUCCAACCCGAACUCGGCUCCGCUCUUGAAAUGUCCGUCUUCUGCAAUGAUCCUCGCCUCUGGCCUUGUACUUCUGCUGUCAUGGCUCGCAUGACGCCCCGAGUGCCCCCAUUCUUCUUCUUGUUCAUCGAUAUACUUUGUACUCCAAGGAAAAACUCAUCUCUUAAUAACUCGUGUUCAUGAGGUUGGCCAUGGUAGAGGGACUUCUCACUUCUUGGGGCCAUGAAAGCUGUUUUGUAUCACAAACUUCAUAUUUGUAUCAUCAAACCCUUUGUUACAAAUGACACUCAUUGUGUACAUUAUCUUUAUACAUAAUAAAAUGGUUUAGCAGGUGUGUUAACCUAAUGGAAA